rnacentral:rRNA from 1 species
UGAACGACUCUCGGCAACGGAUAUCUCGGCUCUCGCAUCGAUGAAGAACGUAGCGAAAUGCGAUACUUGGUGUGAAUUGCAGAAUCCCGCGAACCAUCGAGACUUUGAACGCAAGUUGCGCCCGAAGCCAUUAGGUCGAGGGCACGUCUACCUGGGCGCCUCAC